GAUUUUUUUUGAGGAUAUGGAGAUGCGCAGGACACGAUCCCAGCAAUCCAGGUGCUUACAGGCUGAUUGUACAGCCAUGCACACAGAGUGCCACGAUGCAAAAUAGGAUGUGGUAAGGGUCAUGCAGUUCAGAGGAGAAAGCAAGUGUGGCUGAUGAACAUCACGGAGCAGUGACCUUCAUGGACAGACAGAAUUUGAGCUGGCCCUUUAACCAAUGAGGAGGAUUCAAACAGAGAGGUGUUUCCAGUUCUUCUCAAGUACUUACCCUUGGGAAAUCCAAGCUAACAGAAGUCCUAGAGGUCAACUUUUCUCUCCCUGACCAUUUGUCUACUAUCCUUGUAUAAUGACCAAUCAGGUUUGUAUUAUCCUGAAAAGAAAUUCCACUAAAGAUGAAUAGCAGAGAACUGUGUUCAGAAUACAAGUUCCACAAAGGUAGAGAUCUUGUCCCUCUGGCUACCUGUUGACUCUCCUGUGCCUAAUACAGUGCCUGAUUCAUACUACUCAAUAAAUACUUAUGGAAUGAAUGAAA
rnacentral:lncRNA from 1 species